UGGGGAAUUUUCCGCAAUGGGCGAAAGCCUGACGGAGCAAUGCCGCGUGGAGGUGGAAGGCCUACGGGUCGUCAACUUCUUUUCUCGGAGAAGAAACAAUGACGGUAUCUGAGGAAUAAGCAUCGGCUAACUCUGUGCCAAG
rnacentral:rRNA from 1 species